rnacentral:rRNA from 1 species
UACGUAGGGUGCAAGCGUUGUCCGGAAUUAUUGGGCGUAAAGGGCUCGUAGGCGGUCUGUUGCGUCGGGAGUGAAAACUUACAGCUUAACUGUGAGCGUGCUUCCGAUACGGGCAGACUUGAGGUAUUCAGGGGAGAACGGAAUUCCUGGUGUAGCGGUGAAAUGCGCAGAUAUCGGGAGGAACACCAAUGGCGAAGGCAGCUCGCUGGGACGGUACUGACGCUGAGGCGCGAAAGCGUGGGGAGCAAACGGGG